AGGAAGGUAGUGUAGUUAACACCUGCAUUAUUUGACGUUACCUACAGAAGAAGCACCGGCUAACUCCGUGCCAGCAGCCGCGGUAAUACGGAGGGUGCGAGCGUUAAUCGGAAUUACUGGGCGUAAAGACGCAUGCAGGCGGCCUGUUAAGUCAGAUGUGAAAGACCCGGGGCGUUAACCUCGGAAUUGCAUUUGUAAACUGGCAGGCUAGAGUCUUGUAGAGGGGGGUAGGAAUUUCAGGUGUAGCGGUGAAAUGCGUAGAGAUCUGAAGGAAUACCAGUGGCGAAGGCGGCCCCCUGGACAAAGACUGACGCUCAGAUGCGAAAGCGUGGGGAGCAAACAGGAUUAGAUACCCCUGGUAG
rnacentral:rRNA from 1 species